ACCCUCACACUGCCCUCCUCAGCUCCCUCCUUUACCUCCUCCUUAAAGCACAACCACAUUCAAGCAGACGAAUUGUUAUAAAAGAGUGUGGCCAACGGCGACGCUUCCUUCUAUGUUUACAAAUACAAUGCAAACCAAGAAGGUAUAAAAUAAUCUCGCCCCUCUUCCUCCCGUCGAUGAGCCCAACCCCCUCCAAGAAAUCCGCCGACGCCGCCGCAGCCGCAGCCACAGCGACCCAAGCCCGGUCGUCCGCAACCGGCCUCGGCGGUGGAGGGGGCGGCGCGGGCAUGCGGCUCAUCGUACCUCUCCAGGGCGUCGUCCAGGGUCGCGGCGGCCUCGUCCUCGGCACCCUCAUCCCCUGCGCCCUCUUCUACUUCCUCCAGUUCUACCUCAGGCGCAACCGCUCUCCUCCUCCUACUUCGCCGCAACCCCCCGCUGCCAACGGCCCCGAUCUCCCCGGCAUCGUCCGGUCCUCCUCCCGCAACUUCCUCUCCGCCCGCGGCUCCUCCGGCCACGCCGCCGUCUCCUCCCGCGCGGCCUCGAUCGCCAGAUCCGGCGAUUCGCCUUACUUCGUCGGGACUAAGAAGUGCUCCGAGGACCCUUACCAUCCCGUCGAUAACCCCGACGGCGUCAUACAGCUUGGGUUGGCCGAGAACCGCUUGUCUUUGGAUCUAAUUGGGGACUGGCUUGCGAGAAAUGUGACGGAUACCCUACUCGACGAGCGGCAGGGUGGGCUGAGCAUCAGCGGAUUGGCGACGUACCAGCCUUUUGAUGGGUUGGUGGAAUUGAAGAUGGCUGUGGUUGAAUUUAUGGGACAAGUCAUGCAAGGGUCAGUCUCGUUUGAUCCAUCGCAAAUAAUAAUGACAGCUGGCGCAACUCCAGCAAUUGAAAUUCUCAGUUUCUGCCUGGCAGAUGCUGGAAAUGCAUUUCUUGUUCCUUCACCGUAUUACCCAGGGUACGACAGGAAUAUAAGAUGGCGAGCUGGCAUAGAGUUGAUACCUGUUCCAUGUCGAAGCACUGACAACUUUGGUUUAAGUAUUCCUGCACUCGAAAGAGCAUACAAUCAGGCAAAAAUGCGAGGUGUCAAAGUGCGAGCUGUUCUUUUCUCAAACCCCUCCAACCCUGUGGGCAAUCUUCUGCACAGGGAAACAUUACGAGACCUUCUUGACUUUGUUACGGAGAAGGGCAUUCAUGUCAUUGCUGAUGAAGUGUUCGCAGGGUCAACCCAUGGUACUGAGGAUUUUGUGAGCAUGGCGGAAGUUUUAAACACAGAUGAGUUUGAUAGAAGCAGGGUUCACAUAGUAUAUGGCUUGUCAAAAGAUCUCUCCGUCCCAGGCUUUCGGAUCGGUCUCAUCUACUCUUUUAACGAACAUGUCAUUGCGGCUGCCUCGAAGCUGGCAAGGUUCUCCUCUGUUUCUGUUCCAACCCAGCACUUGCUCAUCUCGAUGCUUAAUGACACUAAGUUCAUCACACAAUAUAUCAAGACGAACAGAGAGAGACUCCGAGUAAUGUAUGCAUUGUUAGUGAAUGGCCUUAAACAGUUGGGUGUUGAGAGUGUCAAAAGCAGUGGUGGUUUUUACUGUUGGACGGAUAUGAGCAAAUUUAUGAAAUCAUACAGUGAGAAAGGGGAGCUUGAGCUAUGGAAGGAGAUGCUUAAUGUGGCUAAGAUUCAUUUAACACCUGGAACGGCAUGCCAUUGCAUUGAACCUGGAUGGUUUCGUUUAUGCUUCACAACAUUGACUGAGAAGGAUGUGCCUGUAGUUUUGGAACGCAUCAAGAGAGUUGUUGAUAACCAUUGAGUCUACUAAAGCAGAAAGGUAGAGGUCUUUGGUACAAAGAUGUUCAUAAGGCUGGAAAGUCGAUCACAUCCAGUCUCUUUCAGUAGUCUCGUAUCCUCUCCAGGGUUGUCAUCAAUUUUGGUAGUGUAGGCUUCGCUUCAUGCUUCUCUUCUCCUUGCUGAUGUAACUACAUCAAGGUGCACCACUACUCGUGCAGAGACCUCUUGGUGAAGAGAUUUCUUUUCACUUACCAGCUGCUAAUAUAUGCUCUCAUCUUGUUACCAUUUGCAAUGAACGGAAAGCAUGUAAGCACCCUCUUCUUUAGGUAAUCCUGUGAUGGACAAAUUGGUUUAGAAUGUUUAUUAGCCUACACGCAAUGGAUCAUUUUGGCAAGUUAAUGCACCCAUUGCACUCUCCAAGGAUGAUGGAUGGAUAUACUACAAGCAAUCAUUUACCUUUGGGUGCUCUCUCUUCCUGCCUUCGUUUUGCUUCCUUCUGCAGCUUAGCUUGCGACUCAGCAGUAUGAGCUCCCCGAGUGUCAGCCCCCUCCUUGCCAUGCCUGCGUGUUCGCUGCUGCAUUGGUUUGGGCCACGGCGAGCAGCCACAGCAGAUGGAGCUUCGUCUUCCCCGCUGGGCAGCGGGAAAAGGAACUGAAUCACCGAAGUGUCUGUGCCCACCUCCGCUGCCUCUGAGCUGCUCGAGCUGCUGUGCCCAUCCGUUCCCGAUACAGAGUGCCAGUCCUCGUUCCGGUAGGAGCCGUUCUCGCUAAAGCUCUCCCACGCAGCAGUCACAUCAGCGAAAGACGGGUCUGCUUUGUCGUCCUUCUUGAAAGAAAAGGCUUCGAGGUAAGAAUCCAUGGCGCCUCCCUCCGUUUCAUCGACGAAGGGAUUCAGGGGACCAGACCUCUCAUCGACAAAAGGGUUCAGGUGACAGCUCGACGCAGGACGAGGAUCCAACCCAUUCAGAUCGCCGGCAGUCAACAAGUCCGGCACGGUGGGAGGAAUCUGGAUUGGCUUCCCGGGCUUCUCUUCCCAUUCGAAGGGGACGGAAACCACGAGUCUCGUCGGCGGCGAAGACGAGAUCACGGGGACUCUCUUCGGUACGCCGGGUUUCUCUUCCCAAAGAUACGGGACGGUGAUCUGCUGCUUCUCUCGCUGCCGAGGACGCGACGCAGAGGACUCCUCACUCUCCUCCGCCAUGGUCGGUAGGUUCGAAAACUCGUUGCAUGCUCGUCCACGCCGUGGACACGAGUAGAUAUAGGAAAAGCUUUGUUGGAUUCGACGAAGCUGUUCCACGAUCGAAAUGUUCUCGCUCAACUGUACCAAUUGGCGUGGCCAUAGCCAUCGCAGACCCAACCCACUUUCCCACCUGCCCAAAUUAACAGUUACGACACUAAAAAAAGGGCAAAAUUUCAAGUAGGUUUAGUUAUAUAUCGAUCGAUGUUGGAUCAUAUAAAUUCAUAUUCAUUAUUUUCUUAAAUGAUUUCCGAUGGUAUACAUCGAUAUAUCAGUGUAUAAACAUUA